rnacentral:rRNA from 1 species
AGGACGAACGCUGGCGGCGUGCCUAAUACAUGCAAGUCGAACGGUCUUUCUAUGGAAGCUUGCUUCCGCUGAGAAGAUAGUGGCGAACGGGUGAGUAACACGUGGGUAACCUGCCCAUAAGAGGGGGAUAACAUCCGGAAACGGGUGCUAAUACCGCAUAGUUUUCUUGAUCGCAUGAUCGGGAAAGGAAAGACGGCCUUUGUGCUGUCGCUUAUGGAUGGACCCGCGGCGUAUUAGUUAGUUGGUGAGGUGACGGCUCACCAAGACGAUGAUACGUAGCCGACCUGAGAGGGUGAUCGGCCACAUUGGGACUGAGACACGGCCCAAACUCCUACGGGAGGCAGCAGUAGGGAAUCUUCCGCAAUGGACGAAAGUCUGACGGAGCAACGCCGCGUGAGUGAAGAAAAGGUUUUCGGAUCGUAAAACUCUGUUGUCAGAGAAGAACAAGUUGGAGAGUAACUGCUCCAGCCUUGACGGUAUCUGACCAGAAAGCCACGGCUAACUACGUGCCAGCCGCCGC